CAUGCAAGUCGAACGCGAAAAGGGGGGCAACCCCCUUAGUAGAGUGGCGAACGGGUGAGUAAUACAUCGGAACGUACCCAGUAGCGGGGGAUAACCUCUCGAAAGAGAGGCUAAUACCGCAUACGACCUACGGGUGAAAGAGGGGGAUCGCAAGACCUCUCACUAUUGGAGCGGCCGAUGUCGGAUUAGCUAGUUGGCGGGGUAAAAGCCCACCAAGGCGACGAUCCGUAGCUGGUCUGAGAGGACGACCAGCCACACUGGAACUGAGACACGGUCCAGACUCCUACGGGAGGCAGCAGUGGGGAAUUUUGGACAAUGGGCGCAAGCCUGAUCCAGCCAUGCCGCGUGAGUGAAGAAGGCCUUCGGGUUGUAAAGCUCUUUCGGCGGAGACGAAAAGGUCCGUGUUAAUACCUCGGAUCCAUGACGGUACCCGCAGAAGAAGCACCGGCUAACUACGUGCCAGCAGCCGCGGUAAUACGUAGGGUGCAGGCGUUAAUCGGAAUUACUGGGCGUAAAGCGUGCGCAGGCGGUCUUUUAAGUCAGAUGUGAAAUCCCCGGGCUUAACCUGGGAACUGCGUUUGAAACUGAAAGGCUAGAGUGUGGCAGAGGGGGGUGGAAUUCCACGUGUAGCAGUGAAAUGCGUAGAGAUGUGGAGGAACACCGAUGGCGAAGGCAGCCCCCUGGGCUAACACUGACGCUCAUGCACGAAAGCGUGGGGAGCAAACAGGAUUAGAUACCCUGGUAGUCCACGCCCUAAACUAUGUCAACUGGUUGUCGGGGAAGCAAUUCCUUGGUAACGAAGCUAACGCGUGAAGU
rnacentral:rRNA from 1 species